rnacentral:lncRNA from 1 species
CUUCAGUGCUUUACCAGUUCAGCGAUAGCAGCUGCUGCUCUACCCCUCGCUGACGUGUGAUCAUGCCAGCCAUAAUCCAAGACAGUCCCUGUCCCCAGGGUAGCCGACACGGUGACCAUGAGGACAUUGGUGUAGUGCAGAGGUGGCCUUCUGGGAUGGCCACACAAGGUUGGUGUGUGUCCCUGGCUGAGGGAAGGGCUCCCUCCGGCUCAGAGCAGGACAAGUGCAGCUGGGGCCACAGUGAAGGUAGAGUCCAGUCUCCUGUGGCUGCUGCGAGACAAUAAUGCCAAGGGGGUGGAUUAGGACCACAGGAACUUGGCCUCUGAGCCUCAGAGGACGGCCAUCAUUGUCCAAGUGCCCACAGGACAUUCUGCCAGCAGUGGCUCCAGAGGAAGCCCCUUCUCUGUCUCUUCCAGGUCCAGGGCUGUGUCUACCUCUCUCCAGCCUCAGCCUCCGUUUUGUGGGGCAUCUAACCUCCUUCAUGUCUCUUGUGGGACAUUUGUCUUUGGAUUUAGGGUCCACACAGAUAAUCUAGGAUGGUCUCCCCUCAAGACCCCGAACUUAGCAUCUGCAGAGAUCCUGUUUCCCAAUCAGGUGUCAGUUCAGGUUCCAGAGGCUGAGGUGUGGACACACUUUGGAGGCCACCCUGGGUGCCUGAAGUGGAGGCUGAGGAGAGACGGGGAUUAGCUGAGUUGAGGGGCUGGGGAGCAUGCAUGGAGGCGGAGGGUUUCUCUGCCACACAGAGGAGUGUGGGGGGUUUUGUGCUAUGGGCCUCGGGGAGUUGUGGAUGGUUUCGGCCUGGGAGUGGCUUCCCGGGAUGGUGCUGCAGCACAGGCUCUGGGGCAGACUCGGGGGUAUUGGGAAAGGCUGCUGAGAGGGGCAGAGUCUGCAGAGAGAAGACCACACUGGCCAGCCGCCUCUCAGCGGGCUAACUCCAUGGUCUCCACACUAGCUUCCCAUCACUGUGGCCCAGCCCGGGGACUGACCAGGCCUCUUUCUGCAGCCAGGGAGGGAAUUUCAGUGCAGUACAAGGUCCACGGAGGUCUGCUUUUACAGAGCUAAGCAAUGCUCAGACCCACGGACGCCACAACAAUCCGACCAUUCUAAACAGUAGCCUAUCCCACUGUGCAGAAGGAGAGCCUCAGUCCCUGCCAGGAAGAGCUGAGGAAAUCUCUCCCUCCGUCAGGGAAAGAGAGGCCACAGGGACGGCCACGGGGCCCGGCGGGCUUCCCCUUCCACUGGGUUCACUCACGAAAGCUCAUGAUGCACCAAGGACAGCAGGGCAGGGACCACACCUGGGCAAUGCCACUUUGUAAGACCCUACUGCCCCCCAAACUAGGUCCAUGCCCUCUCCCCGGAGCAUCAUAAAAGUGUCACCACCUCAGAACUGUCCCUAACCCAAAUCCUGCAGGCCUCCCUGUUCAGAGCUGGUGUCAUUGUUUUCCACCAAACCUCCCCCAGGUCAUCCUGCCGCUCAGGGAGGAUCAUUCUCCCACCCCUCUGAAUCCUCUGUGAGGUCACUGUUCUUGCUCCAUACUGUAUGUCCUCAGGACUGCUGGGUUCUAGGCAAAGACUGUUGGAGGGAUAAAUGGGUGAACAGAGUCCUUCCUCUGCUGGAGCCUAGGCCAUGGAGCUGGUGCCGCCUAGAGAAGCCGGCAUUCCUCUAGACAGCACAGCAGAUGGCUGAGCAUUUUAAUAGAUUACAUAUCUGUAUGUUUAUAUGUGUGUGUUGACAUAUGUUUACACACACACAGGCGUAUACACGUGCUCACAUAUCCAUGAACAGAAUGUGGGCCCAGCCCUGCUGGACGUCCAAGGAGGCACUGGAAAGUGAACACCGUGGCUGGCGCAGGCUCCACUCUGAGAGCGAGACCUGCGGGCCCCUCCCUCUGAGCAGGUGGUAGGUGCAGGUGGAAGGCCAGGGCCAACUGACCAGCAAAACAGCCCAGUGGGCGCAGGAGGCUCAGUUCUGGUCCUGAGGAGCUGAGCUCACCUGCUCCUAGGAAGGCAUGUGUUCCAGGGAGUGCGACCCUUGGGAGAGCAGGCCGCGCCACCUGGGGCAGUACUGCCUGGACAGGGCUGAGCGCUCAGCAGGACAGCAGGAUGGUUCUGACCUGUGCCCUGAGCUGGAGGGGACAGCACCAUCGCCCAGAUGGUGCCACGCCUCUCCUGGCUGCUCCCUCUUGCCAGCAGCGUGGCCACUGGGCAUCUCCUUUCCUUGUGGGAUGGACUACUACAUCUGCCCAUGAAAGGGCAGGGAGGAAAGCAGUGUCCAUUUCCUCCCAUGCAGGCAGGGAAGAGAGUAGGAGAAAGAACAUUCUGGGCUUUGGAAAGGACCGUGUGUUCUAUGCCCAUUUCACCCAGAAAGAUCCAGAGACAACUUGCGCAGACCUAGCUGCGCCCUUGCUGCCACCAAAGCACCUUCCGGCUCAGGACUUGCAGAGCUGCGGCCCUCACCUUUUAGCAAGAAAACCAAUUGUUGGGCACAUUCGUGGAAGGAAGGCUGGUGCAGUCAUUCUCUCCACCUCCCACUUAGGAAUUACAGGUCAGAGGAACCAAGGACCCCAACAGCAGUGUGAGCACCGUGCUGUGUGGCGUGUCUACGUAUGCACAUGUGCUACUUAGGCCCAGGUGUGGUUAUGCACACACAUGUGUGACAUUUGUGCACGUGUGGCAUGUUUGCCAGUGUGCAAAUGUGCACUUGACCUGCAUGUACAGUACGCAUGUGGUGUGUGUGCGUGGCUGUAUGAGCACAUAUGCCUCCUAGGCAGGGUGGACCCCUAGGUGAUCCAGAUGCCCCUGAGAGUGGCAGUGUGACGCUGAGCACAGGCAAGGAGCCCAGUGCCUGCCCCUCACUGGCUUCCCUCUCACAGGCUUCCUUAAUUAGAAAGGAGUCACCUCUGGGAUCCACAUCCCUGCCCCUGGGCUCCAGGUCUCACAGUUUCUCUCCUGCUUACAAAGAGAAACCUGGGGCCAAUUCCUACCUAGACCCUGGCACCCUGAGCAAGAGAGGCCAGCUGGAGAGAAGAGGUCCAGAGGACAUGGAGGACACUGCAGAGGAGUCAGAGAGGAAGUUGGGUCCAGGGCGGAGCAGACUCCAGCUGCAGGGGAGCCUGGUGUCCAGGAGGGGAGUCAGACAGCACAGGGCUGUGCUGCCUCAGCAGGAGGGAAGGCAAGUGUCCUCUUCUUCUUCAUCUUCAAGAAGUACCUCCCCACCAGGAGGGACCUCCCCGAAGUCACCCCGCAUGGCCUAAACUCCUAGGCCACGUGGCAACAAGAGACCAUGGAAAAGCUAAAGGCAGAUCCAGGAAGAACAGGGAUAAGCGGCUCCAAGGGUAAGAGGGAGUUUCCAGGAUCUCUGGGGACAGAGACCCAUUGGCAGAGUGGCCAGAGAUCUGGACACACAACCUCUACACGAAGUCCUGGACUCCAGCUAAGAAAUCCCUCCAGCUGACUCGCUUCCCCGAGGUACAGAUAAGUGCCCACUAAGAGUCCUCAGAGUUAGAAGCCUCUCCCAGAAUGACUCUAGUCAAUCAACCGUCUCUGAACCUUGCAGAGAUUGGUGGUCCAUGGCCUUCUCCAGAGCAGGUUCCCCGAAGCCCUUGGAGGAGCCACUCCUGGAGAAGGCAGGAGCUCGUCAGCUCUUCCUGUCCCUGCACGGGUUCUCAGAGGCCCCCUCAGCUGGUUACCCCAGAUUUCAAAACAUGUCCCCUUCUUGUCAUUGAGCCAAUGAAUAAGGCUUGGGAUGAGGCACUGAGGAGAGGAGAGUUCACCUCUGAGUUCCCAGAACUCUGUGCAGACAUCUCUUGCACAAAGCGGGCCCCACUCUACCAAGGUAUGGAUGUCCCCACUGCCCCAGCCUUGCAGGCCCAUCCACCUGGAAUCUCCUGCUCCUCGGCAUUUCUGCUCUCUCGUCCUCAGCUCCAGAGCAGCCACGCAGGCAUCACAAGGCGUGCACACACGCAGAGCUGAGAGCAAGGAGGGGUCUGUGGGCCUCUGACUGGGUGCCCUCCCGUCAGUUUCUACCAAACUGCUUGAGUGUCCAGGGGUCCAGCAGCACCCCCUCCUCCUUACAUAUCCUUCCCUGUGUACUAAAGGGAGGCCAUGGUGACCCUGCAGUCACCGGCAUCACACCUGUCGUGAGGUGGACUCCCUCUUGGGCAGCUACUAGCACAGGGAGGACUAGCUGAGAGUGGGAUGUACUCUCAGGUUGGCCAUGACCCAAGGGAAAUGUGAAAUAGACAGGAAGUUCUACGUCUGGGCAUGAAUUUCACCCAACUAUAUUUGAAUUUAAGUCCAAAAUAUUUGCAAUUAAGCUCUCUCAUUACCAAAUUAAAUAGGUAUGCCUCUCAUUUCACACAAUAGGCAUGUUCCUGAGAAACUACAUGAGAAGAGAAUUUUUAAAAAUCAAAUUAUAUUUUUUCAAAGUACUUGGAGAGCUUUCUAUUUAAAAGAAUCCCACAAGGAAUCUCCCUUAGAAUGAAGAAUCCCAUUGUAAUGCAAAUGAUCGCCUCCUAAUUUAUCUGUUUUCUAAAUUCAAAUAAACUCCAGUUUAUUCAGAGUGGUCAAAGAGCAGGGUCUUGUGGUUAAUUGAAUAUUCAUGUUAAUUUGGAAUCUCCACAUAUACCAUGUGUUGGUUACCAAUUUCCACAAAACAAGAAUAUAAUAAAAUACAAUAAAACACACUUAACAACGGAAUGGUGCUGGGCCUAAUUACUUUUCCUUUGCUAAUCUGAAGGCGAAAUGCACAGACCUGAGUUUGCAGGAAGAGAAUAGGCCGAAUCAUUGGAAUC